rnacentral:rRNA from 1 species
UACGUAGGGCGCAAGCGUUGUCCGGAAUUAUUGGGCGUAAAGAGCUUGUAGGCGGAUUGUCGCGUCUGCUGUGAAAAUCCGGGGCUCAACCCCGGACUUGCAGUGGGUACGGGCAGACUAGAGUGUGGUAGGGGAGACUGGAAUUCCUGGUGUAGCGGUGGAAUGCGCAGAUAUCAGGAGGAACACCGAUGGCGAAGGCAGGUCUCUGGGCCACUACUGACGCUGAGAAGCGAAAGCAUGGGGAGCGAACAGG